rnacentral:rRNA from 1 species
GGGGGGGGGGGGGGGGGGGGGGGGGGGGGGGGGGGGGGGGGGGGGGGGGGGGGGGGGGGGGGGGGCUGGAGGGGCGAGCGGGGGAGUGAGGCGUGGGGAACCUGCCCGUGACUUUGGGAGAACGUCAGGAAACUGGGGCUAAUACCGGAUAGGAGCUCCUGCUGCAUGGUGGGGGGUGGAAAGGUUCGGCGGUUGGGGAUGGACUCGCGGCUUAUCAGCUUGUUGGUGGGGUAGUGGCUUACCAAGGCUUUGACGGGUAGCCGGCCUGAGAGGGUGACCGGCCACAUUGGGACUGAGAUACGGCCCAGACUCCUACGGGAGGCAGCAGUGGGGAAUAUUGCACAAUGGGCGGAAGCCUGAUGCAGCAACGCCGCGUGCGGGAUGACGGCCUUCGGGUUGUAAACCGCUUUCGCCUGUGACGAAGCGUGAGUGACGGUAAUGGGUAAAGAAGCACCGGCUAACUACGUG